rnacentral:tRNA from 1 species
GGUCGGUUAGCUCAGUUGGUUAGAGCGUGGUGCUAAUAUCCACCCAUGAUAUACGGCACGCCAAGGUCGCGGGUUCGACCCCCGUACUGACCA